GUGAGAGUAGCUCAGUUGGCUAGAGCACCAGAUUGUGGCUCUGGGGGUCGCGGGUUCGAAUCCCGUCUUUCACC
rnacentral:tRNA from 1 species